rnacentral:tRNA from 1 species
UCCCUGAUAGCUCAGUUGGUAAAGAAUCUGCCUGCAAUGCAGGAGACCCGGGUUCGAUCCCUGGGUUGGGAA